CGUCCGGCGUGGCAGCGCGGCCCACCGUGAGGUGAAGUGAUCGUGGCGGUGGUGGGAAGGGUUCCCGGCGCGAAGCAAAGCANACCCCUGCGAUUUCCCCAAAUGCGGGAAACUCGACUGCAUAAUUUGUGGUAGUGGGGGACUGCGUUCGCGCUUUCCCCUG
rnacentral:snRNA from 1 species